UAUCACUGGAAAAAUUCAUAAAAUAAAUAGUAGUAGUCAAUCAACUGUACAUCAAGUUUCCCCUUUUAAAAGGGAUGCUCGCAAAGCCGAAAAUCCAUCAAGCAACAUAUAUAAGAGAUUUUUCCAGCUUUAGUGUGUUGAGAUAUAAGAAAGAUGGGAAUAAAGUUAUGGGUAACAUUAGUGAUGCCAGUGCUUUCAUUACUAAAUGGAUGGUACUGUUUAGGGUGUUGGGAAGAAGAGAGGACUGCUCUUUUGCACCUCAAAGCAAACAUAAACUUUCCAGAUGGAAGAUCGCUGACUUCAUGGGUGGUUAAUGAGAUUGGAACUGACUGUUGUCAAUGGCAAGGGGUUGAAUGUAGUAACACAACUAAACAAGUAAUCCAUCUUAACCUUGAUUUCGCCAUGGAUCAAAAAUUAGGAGAUUGGUAUUUUAAUGCCUCUCUAUUUCUUCCCUUUCAAGAGCUUAGAAAUCUCUCUUUGUCGGGGAAUCAGUUAGUAGGUUGGAUUGAGAAUGAAGGUAUGAUGUCAUCUCUCCUUAAUUGGGUAGCUUCAAUUUUAUUAUUCCUGUUUUGUUUGAGUGGUAAAUAAAGAUAUAUUGAACUUUAUUGCAGGUUUUGAUAAAUUGUCAAAAUUGAGAAAUUUUGAGGGCCUUGAUAUGUUUGAAAAUUCAUUUGAUCCCAAAAUUUUGUCAUCUCUUAGUCAGCUUUCUUCUCUCAAGAAUUUGAGAGUUGGAUUCAACAUUUUAGAGAGAGAAAAUUACAGAAAUAGUAAGUUCUAUAUACUUCGUAUGCUGGUGGUUUUUUCAUAGAUCAUGUAAAUUAUCGAAGAAUCAACCCUUUAGAAAAUAAAUCAAGUUUAUUAUGAUUGAACUUUUCUUGUUGCAGUAUAAGAUAAGCAAUUUCUCUAAACCUUUAAUUUUCUCUAAUAAAAGUACAAAUCAAACAACCAAUUUAUCCUUACUACUGUAUUACGAGAAAAGUAGAGAGAGUAAAUAAUUUUAAAUUACAGUAAUAAUAGAACAUUGUCGAGAAAACAUAUGCAGGUAACCAACAUUAAGUGCAAGAAUUUUUCAGAGUGAAGAUGAGAUAACGGAGUUCCAACUCUUACUAAUUCUAUGAAUGCAAGAACACAGUCCAUGGAAAAAACAAUAUAAAAGCCAGAAGCUCAACUUGAGAUUUUAUCACUAAUUUAAGUUGUUUGUAAAAAUAGAAAUCUCGAUUUCAUUUUAGAUAAAUCUACUUACCAUACUGUGACUUGAAGAUUAUGCAAAUUGUUCUCCUACUACAUCAAAACAUUUGCCAUUUAUUCCUUCCUAAUAAGUUUAGCAUUACUAAAUGUAUAUGUUAAUCGCAUUGAGUUAGAUAUUAAUAGUGCUGGUCAUCCCAAGUAAUUCAAAUGGAAAACAUUAAGGACAUGCUUGGUACUUGAAAGUACAACAAAUAAGACAUUUUCGUCUUUAAAAUUGGAAUACACCUUACUACAGAAGCAGUCUUUCAUUAUGGAAUACACCUUUCUUUUUGUUUACUUAUUUCCUCUCUAGGCAUCAUUUCAAUGUUGAAUAGCUUAGACGAAACAUAUUAUUAGUUUCUACGAAAAAUCAUUGUGUAGGCAAUGGAAGACUUUUUGGAUUAACCAAGCUAGAAGUUCUUCAUAUUUGGGGUACUGAUUGGUUUGGUGAUAACGACAUUCUAUCGAUGCUAAACCUGAAAGAUUUUACCAAUUUGAAGGAGCUCGACCUAAGUCAAAAUAAAGCCAGAAGCUUGGGUACUAUUUUUGGUGUAUCAUCUCAUUUCGUUCUUCAUCAUUAUUCAUUUUAGAUUUCCUUUUCUUUGAUUACUUCACUUGUGCCUUAUUAUUAUGAACAAAAGCAUUCACGGUAUUUUGCACUUGGGCCCUCCCUUUCACUAAAUAGUGGUUUACAGUUUAUUAGAUAUUAUAUUGUACCUUGUUGUGGAUUCAGUUAUACAAACAGAUCUAAAAUAUUUGAAGGUCCUUAAUUUACAAGGAAAUUACUUCAAUAAUAGCAUUUUCUCCUCACUUCAUGUGCUAUCAUCACUCAAGUCUCUAGAUCUCUCUUACAAUGAACUAAAAGGAACCAUCCAAGUGAAAGAUUUGAUAAUUCGGAAGUAACAAAGCAGUGAAGCCAAAUAUAACAGCAUGGCAGGAAGCCAUGAUGGCCAUGUGUAUGCAUAUUCAAUCAUGAAAGUAUGAAAUGAUUAUAUGUACUUGUAUUAAUAAAUGGGAAUCUGAUUUGUUUCCCAGUUAAAUUUUUUUUGUUUGAGAAAAACAUU